GCACCUUUAGCUCAGUUGGUAGAGCAACUGACUCUUAAUCAGUGGGCCAACGGUUCGAGUCCGUUAAGGUGCACCA
rnacentral:tRNA from 1 species